AACGCAACUUGCGCUUUUGGGUAUCCCUGAAAGCAUACCUCUCUGAGUAUCGUUUCAACACAAACUCGACUGCGUGCGUCUGUAAAAAGACGUAUUUUAGUCGGUAAAUGAGUUGUCUCAGCGUCGAAGCGCUGAGUCACUUGAAGCGAAUAUCACUUCCAUAUAUCAAUUCGAUUCAGGUUUCGACUUGACUAAUUGAUGUUUGAUAAUUGACCUUUGUGUCAUUUACUAUCGCAUCGAUUUAGUAGAAAUGAAUAAUGGUGUGCAUAACAAGGAACCUUUAAAGACCAACGCUGACUUUUUUUCGAAAAAGCGGUUGUGUGUCUUUUCUGAUCUUGAUCUCAGAUGAAGUAAGAGAACCCGCCGAAUUUAA
rnacentral:misc_RNA from 1 species